rnacentral:rRNA from 1 species
CUGACGAGUGGCGGACGGGUGAGUAAUGCUUGGGAAUCUAGCUUAUGGAGGGGGAUAACUACGGGAAACUGUAGCUAAUACCGCGUAAAAUCUUCGGAUUAAAGGGUGGGACUUUCGGGCCACCUGCCAUAAGAUGAGCCCAAGUGGGAUUAGGUAGUUGGUUAGGUAAAGGCUGACCAAGCCGACGAUCUCUAGCUGGUCUGAGAGGAUGACCAGCCACACUGGAACUGAGACACGGUCCAG